rnacentral:sRNA from 1 species
UUUCUUGACUCAGAUUCACACUCCACAGUCUUUCCAGGAGCUAGAUGGAUGGUAUUAUCCAGCCAUCAUCCUACAAGCCUAAAGCCAAGUGGAAAACCACCAUCCUCACAGCAGACGAAGUUAUACGGAAGCGUCUCCUCAUUGAUGGAGAUGGUGCUGGAGAUGAUCGGAGAAUUAAUCUGCUAGUGAAGAGUUUCAUUAAAUGGUGCAACUCUGGGUCCCAGGAAGAGGGCUAUAGCCAGUACCAGCGUAUGCUGAGCACGCUGUCUCAAUGUGAAUUUUCAAUGGGCAAAACUUUACUAGUAUAUGAUAUGAAUCUCAGAGAAAUGGAAAAUUAUGAAAAAAUUUACAAGGAAAUAGAAUGUAGCAUAGCUGGAGCACAUGAAAAAAUUGCUGAGUGCAAAAAGCAAAUUCUUCAAGCCAAACGAAUACGAAAAAAUCGCCAAGAAUAUGAUGCUUUGGCAAAAGUGAUUCAGCACCAUCCAGACAGGCAUGAGACAUUAAAGGAACUAGAGGCUCUGGGAAAAGAAUUAGAGCAUCUUUCACACAUUAAAGAAAGUGUUGAAGAUAAGCUGGAAUUGAGACGGAAACAGUUUCACGUUCUUCUUAGUACCAUCCAUGAACUUCAGCAAACAUUGGAAA